rnacentral:rRNA from 1 species
UGGUGCGGUCAUACCAGUGCUAAUACACCGGAUCCCAUCAGAACUCCGCAGUUAAGCGCGCUUGGGCCAGAACAGUACUGGGAUGGGGGACCU